rnacentral:misc_RNA from 1 species
GGAAGUAAAAGUCAUAACAAGGUUUCCGUAGGUGAACCUGCGGAAGGAUCAUUAUUGUAUAACCGAGGUGCGAGGGCUGUCGCUGACCCGAAAGGUCGUGCACGCCCGAGUGCCCUCACACACAUCCAUCUCGCCCCUAUGUGCACCACCGCGUGGGUCCCCCUUUGGCUUGUUCGGAGGGGGGCUUACGUUUUCACACAAACUUUGUAUGCAGUGUAGAAUGUAUUUUUUGUUUUUGCGAUCACGCAAUCAAUACGACUUUCAACAACGGAUCUCUUGGCUCUC